rnacentral:pre_miRNA from 1 species
GGUGCGAGUGCUGGAUCUUGGGCUGUGUCCCUGGCGCCCUGUGCUCCCGGGCCUGUGCUGUUGGAUUUGCCCUCCCGGCCGCCAGGCCCCUU